GCUAUUGUUCCCUGUGUGACUUCCAGCAGAUGUUGGGUAGGUUAGAUGGGGGGCUUGAGCUGAGAUACAUGGAUUCCCCUUUAGAGACCCUCCUCUUCCCUCUUGUCAUCCUCACUGUCAUGGUGAUAGUUAGAAGCAGAGGUAGAGAGAACUACAUGAGAAGGGUUUGGAGGCAGGAUGUGGCGAGUGUGGUUCCCAAAAUGCUCAGAAUGUGGGUGAGUGGAGGAGCUUUCACAAGCACCCCAGAUGUAGGACCUGGUAAAUGUCAAACCACAUCCUGUUGUGACUCCCUGAGAUGAAGCUAGGGCAGGUGGCCGUUCUUACUUGAUGCUGAUGUUACUUAGAGAUAAACAGCCAGAAACUGGGGUGAGAUGCUUCUAACCCCUUCCCCCAUUGUCUGCAGGAACCUAAAAGUCCCCAGCAUGCACCUCUUCACUUGUUGAUGUUCGAUGGAUGAGAAGCAGUUUUUCUUAACACUAUUUUCUUAGCGUGGUCCUAUACCUCUUUGCUGGAAGAGGUUAAGGAAAACUUCACCAGGAGAGACCAAGAACAAAUCCUCCACUUCCACAACUAUUCCUGGUCAGAGUGACUUCAUGAAACACUCUUAUAUAGAUCACGUAGGAUCGUGAAUCACACAGUUCUCUCUGGGCCACUACAAAGAAGAAAAAUGGGGAAAUGGCUCAAAGCAAGAAGGGAGGGAUCCAUAGAAUUAUAUCAAUUCUUCUUUUCUUUUCUCUUAACUGCUUUCUUAAGAAAGACUAAACCUUUGUCUUCUAGAUAAUCCUCCAGACUCCUGAAGCAUCUCCCUUCCUUAAGUUGAUGAAGCUGACAAAACAUUGAGUACUGUAGUGGGAAGAUCUCCAUGAACACUGGUGCCAAUAGGAAAAUUCCUGUGGCUAAAUGGAAUCAACUCCAGGGCUAUCCACACAGGAAUCCUUUUGCUUUCCUCAAAAUAAAUUAUCAUCAUUACAUGACUUCCAGAUAUUUUCCUUAUCUGUCAUAACUGACAGAUCUAUAAUGGCUGUAAGUCAGUUUCCCGGUGCUACCUAUAAAAACUCAUCUGUUUUUCAUGACAUUGUAAGAACUUGGGAACCUUCAGGAGUUGUUUUAGGGAGUAUUUUCUGCAAUUUUCUUCAGCCAGUAAGCAUCAUCUGCCUCCACACUGUGGCCACUUGUAGAGUCUACCGUGGACCCUGUCUUACAUUCUACCUGCCUUACUGACAAACAAGUCAUAUCAGACCUGAGUCCAGAACAAGUGGAACUCUUCAGAUCAAUGAAGAAUCUCUCUAGUGUUUCACCUUUGCAAAAAUAACUCUGGGCUCAACUGAUGUUUCAGAAUCUCUACUCUGAGAUGUCCUUUGCUCUGGUCCUAUCAGAAUAGUCAUGGUUCACUCUCUGGAUCCCAAAAUCACUAGUCUUCAGUAUCUUUUUUGCACUCACUUGUUUUAGAUCCUACAACAAACAUUAUAAACAUCUCCACCUUAGCAGUUCUGCCCAGCUUACACUCAGCGGGAAUGAAAUGAUUCCUAGUUUGGUCUAAAAGGAUCCACUUUGAUUAUAGAGACAGAGACAGGAGAGCUCAACUUCUGAGUGCUAUGAGUGUUGCAAAUUGUUAUUUGGAGCAGACAAGGACAUUGCAGUUAAUACUUGGAGAGAGACCUGGAUCCUUCCCUUAGUCAUGCACAGGGUUGGAUGGGGUGAGGUAGAGUUUGUAACUUCAUCUCUGUUAUGUCCCCUGGACUGAGAGAAUAAACUACUUCUGGCCUUGUGUCUUUCAAAUAAAAUACCUGUUGUAGAACAGUA